UCAGAGCAUUCUGUUCUCUUUUCCAUUGUGUUGUCAUAGGGAGAGGCAUAAAUUAUCGAAGCAAAUAAGGCUCAUUUUGAGAGACAGUCAUUGGAACUAUUGAGAAAAAAAUUGGUGUUGUUGAGAGAUUAUAUGAAGCCUGGAGCUGUUGGCAGCCAUCUUUCCACCAUGAUAGCAGAGCCUGCCAAAGAAAUGAAGUUACAGAGAAAAGCAUUCCUCAGACAGGAAAUGAUGGCCUGUUCUAGGACAGCCAGUGUCGCUUGGCCUAUUGUACUGAAGAAUAAAUGAGUAAGAGUCUUGAUUACCUUACAAAUAAA